rnacentral:rRNA from 1 species
AAACGUCCCAGUUCGGAUUGCAGUCUGCAACUCGAGUGCAUGAAGCUGGAAUCGCUAGUAAUCGCGGAUCAGAAUGCCGCGGUGAAUACGUUCCCGGGUCUUGUACACACCGCCCGUCACACCAUGGGAGUCGGGAAUGCCCGAAGCCGGUGGCCCAAUCGAGAGAAGGGAGCCGUCGAAGGCAGGCCGGAUGACUGGGGUGAAGUCGUAACAAGGUAGC